rnacentral:tRNA from 1 species
GCUCAGGUGGUGGAAUCGGCAGACACGCCAGACUUAGGAUCUGGUGCCGCAAGGCAUGAGGGUUCAAAUCCCUCUCUGAGCACCA